CUAUGGUGAGCGGGGUAGAGAAGUUACCGGGCUGGCACCGUGUGAAUGGAGUUAAAGAUCGUCGAGAAGUCUCCUAAGUAGCCCUAGGACAUCGUUAGUCUACAGCAAGAGGACUACUGUUUCAUACCGCCCCUUGACUUCGGAAAAUAGCUCAUUGUAAUCAACAGAGACAGGCACCCCUCACUGGCAGUCUGGCUGCUGUGUCCCCAUUGGUCCAGAUGUGAGAGCAGAGACCAGCAGUGUCUCCUCUAACCCUCAGGGCCCGUCGUCAUGGAAAUGGUGUUGUCGUUACCAAGGCCGUCGUGGGGGUUGUGGUCUGUGUUAGUCCCAGGCCUGGCCCUACUGCUGUGCCUGGCCCUGGUCCUGAUGGGCUGUGUGAUCAGGAAGAAGAGAAGGAUGGAGGGAAUGUAUCGGCCCAGUGCGGAGGAGAGCAAACAGACCGGACCACGGGGGGCUGAGAGACCAGGCCUGCCCCUGCCCAAGGAGGAGAGACUCAUCUGAUACAUGCACUUUAGCCUGGACGCUACACACACUCUCUUUUCCUUCUCUCUCUCUCUCACUACCAUUGCCUCACUGUCCUCUACCCUGUACAUGAAGCCAGAACGGGUUAUUAGUGGUUAUGUGUUGUGUAAAGUUAUCUGUGGAUGGAGUGUCUUGUUAAAUAUGCCUGAACAUGCCUGGUGGAUGUGCCAUGUUCUCUCCAGUUUCUCCAACUGUGCUGAUGUUGACAUCAGUGUGUCAACAGGUGAAUGCUGAAUGCCCUGUCAGGGGUGUGUUGUUCACCUGUAGGUGGACUAGUUGUUUACCUGUAGGUGGACUAGUUGUUGAUCAUACAGAGAAAAGGGAAUUUUAAAAGUUCCUCUAUAUGCAAAAUGUCUCUUUAUUAUGGCAGUUAUACUGUUACAUGUGAACCAACUAUGAUUUAGGUGUAUCCCGUGUAUAAAGCAUUAGUGUGUGUGUGUGUGUGUGUGUGUUUUAUAUCUUGAAAAUGAAGAGAAGAAUGGUAAGACACUAUGAAUGAUUUCUAAUGCACUUCUGAUGAUAUUAACCAUGUGAAAACAAU
ensembl:lncRNA